AGGUUCCAAUGCUUCUCUCCGAAUAAAAAGUGUGGGGGACAAUGCUGAGUUUGUGUUCUUGGAGAUGGGUCGAUGCGCCCUCCACUUGGAUGUCAAGUGCAGGACACUGCGUAAAGUCUAUGAGGUGACAGAAGAGGGUGCAUAUUUGGGCGAUAUCUAUCCUGUUAUGAUGAUCUGGCCUCCAGCAUUUCCUGCACUCAAGGAUGAUCCGGCAAGAGAUGCCAUGUGAAGAACAGCCGUAUCAGUUAUGAGCUAGGGUGCUGCUGGGUGGUAUCUACAUAUGUCAGUGAUAAGCUAGGGUGCCAUCAAGGAUGAGCUGAGCUGCAUCAAUCAACUGGUCCAUCUUUUAUUCUUUAGGCUUAAGUAAUGCAGUACACUGGGUUUGCUACUUUUUCUUGUCCUUACUUGAAUUGGAGACUCCUAACAAGCUACGUGGUUCACUGCGUUAUUUUCUUCUCUUUGGGGGUAAAAGAAGCAGCUGCCUGCCUUGACGUGCUACUUGUCAUCCAGUUUGAAACGUGCUUCGCAGGAAGGAAUUCACUUUUCUGAA